UAAAAAAUUAUUUAAAAUAUAAAUAAAAUGACUAAAGAUUAUUUAAAAUGAAAACGAAAAUUAGCCUCCUCUCCCAAAUCACCGCUGCCAGCAACACCGAGAGCUUCCAUCGCUGCACGCAAACAAAUCACCAUCGCCAGCAACACCAAUAUCUGAUCACUGCCAGUAUCCGGCAGUACACGAAAGAAGCCCGCCGUCCAAUUAUUCCUUGUGAUGCCUCCAAGUGCGACCUCCAUUACUCACAAUUUAGCUUAGAAAGUAAGCCUGCUGCCAUCAACCAGAACAAAAAAGAUAAAGGCAUAUUCUCUCUAAAAUUCCAAGAAACAAGCGGUGGAUUACUGAUUUUGUUUUUGGUUUUGAUUUGGGUUCUUCAUUUUUCAUUAGCUUGUGUCAAGUGGACUGGGAGAGAGAAGAAAAAAAAACUACAAUUUUGGAGAUUUUUGGGAUUGUUUAGGAUUCGGAGAUUUUGAGGUUAAAGUUUGUGCAUUUGUUGUGCGUUUUAAGAUUUUGAGUUAUGGCGGUGAAGAUGAUGAGAUGGCUGCCAUGGCCGCUGUUGGGUCCUCAGAACUGAGUUUCCCCGAUUCUAAGAGGUGGAGAGCAGCAAGUUUCUCCGAUUCAGACCUGUUACUGAGUUGGAGCUCCGCUUCACAAAAAAGCUCUUACAGUUCAUCGGAAUGAAUUGGCGGCGGCAAUGGGACUAACGCAAAGGAAGAAGACACGAGAGAGCAGGGCACAGAAAGGAAAGUUAGUUUUUACAUGCAUUUAGCUUGUCUUAUAGUGCAGGUCCUACCCUUUUUGAGGGGGAAAACCCUAAAACAAAGGUCAUUUCAAUCAUUUUUUACCAUUCCACCAGGAAGAGACUUAGCUGAAAAAUGCACAGGCGGUGCACCAGCUGUGCUUUAUGCACUGAAGAGUUAGACACAUAUUGUGACAAAAAGCACACCCGUCGCACUGGUCGUGCUAUUAUUGUCAGCCCGUAUGUCGGGCCGUGAGUUUGGCAUGGUGAAGGAAGGUUCAAGAAUGCACAGGCGCUCUGCCGACCAUAACUUUUGUUUAGCUAGCAAGUUGAAAGCGGGAGAAUAGGUUGAAGAUCUAUUCAAAAAUAUAUUAAAAAAGGAUACUGCAAGAUCUUCUUCAAGCUAUAAAAGGAGGAUGAAGGGAUGCAGAGUUCAUCAAGAAAUAGCUAGGGAACAAUUCAGAUUUAAAGAGGAUUAAUCAGGGAUUAGCUUAAGGAUCUACUCCACAGUUAGCAAUUGAAACAAGAUUUCAUUCUUAGUUUCCUUUGUGGACAAGGAUGGUCCUAGAGCUAUCAAUUCCUCUCAGUUUUUUGAUUUGUAAUUUGAUAAUGUAUAGUGAGUAGUUCCCUUAGCUAGUGUUGGGUGAAAACCAAUUUGAGUAGCAACUAUGUAAACAUCUCUCUUUAUUUCAAUUUAAAUGAAUGUUUUCUUGAUUCU